rnacentral:rRNA from 1 species
UACGUAGGGUGCAACCGUUGUUCGGAAUCACUGGGCCUAAAGAGCGCGUAGGCGGUCUGACAAGUCCCCUGUGAAAGCCCCCGGCUUAACCGGGGAACUGCAUGGGAUACUGUUGGGCUAGAGUGCAGGAGGGGAGAGCGGAAUUCCUGGUGGAGCGGUGAAAUGCGUAGAUAUCAGGAGGAACGCCGGCGGCGAAAGCGACUCUCUGGCCUGUAACUGACGCUGAGGCGCGAAAGCUAGGGGAGCAAACGGG